GAUGAACGCUGGCGGCGUGCCUAAUACAUGCAAGUCGAGCGAACGGACGAGAAGCUUGCUUCUCUGAUGUUAGCGGCGGACGGGUGAGUAACACGUGGAUAACCUACCUAUAAGACUGGGAUAACUUCGGGAAACCGGAGCUAAUACCGGAUGAUAUUUUGAACCGCAUGGUUCAAAAGUGAAAGACGGUCUUGCUGUCACUUAUAGAUGGAUCCGCGCUGCAUUAGCUAGUUGGUAAGGUAACGGCUUACCAAGGCAACGAUGCAUAGCCGACCUGAGAGGGUGAUCGGCCACACUGGAACUGAGACACGGUCCAGAGGCCUACGGGAGGCAGCAGUAGGGAAUCUGCCGCAAUGGGCGAAAGCCUGACGGAGCAACGCCGCGUGAGUGAUGAAGGUCUUCGGAUCGUAAAACUCUGUUAUUAGGGAAGAACAUAUGUGUAAGUAACUGUGCACAUCUUGACGGUACCUAAUCAGAAAGCCACGGCUAACUACGUG
rnacentral:rRNA from 1 species